GACGUAGGGCGCAAGCGUUGUCCGGAUUUAUUGGGCGUAAAGAGCUCGUAGGCGGCUUGUCGCGUCGGAUGUGAAAGCCCGGGACUUAACCCCGGGUCUGCAUUCGAUACGGGCAGGCUAGAGUUCGGUAGGGGAGAUCGGAAUUCCUGGUGUAGCGGUGAAAUGCGCAGAUAUCAGGAGGAACACCGAUUGCGAAGGCAGCUCGCUGGGACGUCACUGACGCUGAGACGCGAAAGCGUGGGGAGCAAACAGG
rnacentral:rRNA from 1 species